rnacentral:rRNA from 1 species
CCUACGGGAGGCAGCAGUGGGGAAUUUUGGACAAUGGGCGCAAGCCUGAUCCAGCCAUUCCGCGUGAGUGAAGAAGGCCUUCGGGUUGUAAAGCUCUUUCGCAAGGGAAGAAACGAUACAGGUUAAUAACCUGUGUUAAUGACGGUACCUUGAUAAGAAGCACCGGCUAACUACGUGCCAGCAGCCGCGGUAAUACGUAGGGUGCGAGCGUUAAUCGGAAUUACUGGGCGUAAAGCGUGCGCAGGCGGUUUUGUAAGUCAGAUGUGAAAUCCCCGAGCUCAACUUGGGAACUGCGUUUGAAACUACAAGACUAGAAUAGGUCAGAGGGGGGUAGAAUUCCACGUGUAGCAGUGAAAUGCGUAGAGAUGUGGAGGAAUAUCAAUGGCGAAGGCAGCCCCCUGGGAUCAUAUUGACGCUCAUGCACGAAAGCGUGGGGAGCAAACAGGAUUAGAUACCCUGGUAGUCCACGCCCUAAACGAUGUCAACUAGUUGUUGGUAGAGUAAAAUCUAUGAGUAACGCAGCUAACGCGUGAAGUUGACCGCCUGGGGAGUACGAUCGCAAGAUUAAAACUCAAAUGAAUUGACCGG